GACGAACGCUGGCGGCGUGCUUAACACAUGCAAGUCGAACGGUAAGGCCCUUCGGGGUACACGAGUGGCGAACGGGUGAGUAACACGUGGGUGAUCUGCCCUGCACUUCGGGAUAAGCCUGGGAAACUGGGUCUAAUACCGGAUAGGACCACUGCCUGCAUGGGUGGUGGUGGAAAGCUUUUGCGGUGUGGGAUGGGCCCGCGGCCUAUCAGCUUGUUGGUGGGGUGAUGGCCUACCAAGGCGACGACGGGUAGCCGGCCUGAGAGGGUGACCGGCCGCACUGGGACUGAGAGACGGCCCAGACUCCUACGGGAGGCAGCAGUGGGGAAUAUUGCACAAUGGGCGCAAGCCUGAUGCAGCGGCGCCGCGUGAGGGAUGACGGCCUUCGGGUUGUAAACCUCUUUCAGCACCGACGAAGCGCAAGUGACGGUAGGUGCAGAAGAAGGACCGGCCAACUACGUGCCAGCCGCCGCGGUAA
rnacentral:rRNA from 1 species